rnacentral:rRNA from 1 species
GUGGGGAAUCUUGCGCAAUGGGCGAAAGCCUGACGCAGCAACGCCGCGUGCGGGAUGACGGCCUUCAAGGUUGUAAACCGCUUUCAGCAGGGACGAAAAUGACGGUACCUGCAGAAGAAGCCCCGGCUAACUACGUGCCAGCAGCCGCGGUAAUACGUAGGGGGCAAGCGUUGUCCGGAUUCAUUGGGCGUAAAGAGCUCGUAGGCGGUUCAGUAAGUCGGGUGUGAAAGCUCCGAGCUCAACUCGGAGAGGCCACCCGAUACUGCUGUGACUUGAGUACAGUAGGGGAGCGUGGAAUUCCUGGUGUAGCGGUGAAAUGCGCAGAUAUCAGGAGGAACACCAGCGGCGAAGGCGGCGCUCUGGGCUGUAACUGACGCUGAGGAGCGAAAGUGUGGGUAGCAAACAGGAUUAGAUACCCCGGUAGUCC